rnacentral:tRNA from 1 species
ACCAGGAUGGCCAGUGGUGAAGGCGUUGGACUUAAAAUCAAUGGCCAAUGUCCUCGUGGGUUCGAACCCCACUCCUGGUA